rnacentral:rRNA from 1 species
AUCGAACGCUGGCGGCAGGCCUAACACAUGCAAGUCGAGCGGAAGAAGGGAGCAUGCCCCUGGAUUUAGCGGCGGACGGGUGAGUACUGCCUAGGAAUAUGCCAGGUAGUGGGGGAUAACGUCCGGAAACGGGCGCUAAUACCGUAUACGUCCUGAGGGAGAAAGUGGGUGUUCUUGGAAACUCACGCUAUAAGAAGAGCCUAGGACGGAUUGGCUCGUGGGUGGGGUAAAGGCCUACCAAGGGGAAGAUCCGUAACUGGUCUGAGCGGAUGGUUGGUCACACUGGAACUGAGACACGGUCCGGACUCCUACGGGAGGCAGCAUGGGGGAAUAUUGGACAAUGGGCGAAAGCCUGAGCCAGCCAUGCCGCGUGGUUGAAGAAGGUCUUCGGAUUUUAAAGCACUUUGAGUGGGGAGAAAAUGCAGUAAGUUAAUACCUUGCGGUAUUGACGGUACCAACAAAAUAAGCACCGGCUAACUUCGUG